rnacentral:rRNA from 1 species
AACGAACGCUGGCGGCAGGCUUAACACAUGCAAGUCGAACGCAUCGCAAGAUGAGUGGCAGACGGGUGAGUAACGCGUGGGAACAUACCCUUUUCUACGGAAUAGCUCUGGGAAACUGGAAUUAAUACCGUAUACGCCCUACGGGGGAAAGAUUUAUCGGGGAAGGAUUGGCCCGCGUUGGAUUAGCUAGUUGGUGGGGUAAAGGUCUACCAAGGCGACGAUCCAUAGCUGGUCUGAGAGGAUGAUCAGCCACAUUGGGACUGAGACACGGCCCAAACUCCUACGGGAGGCAGCAGUGGGGAAUAUUGGACAAUGGGCGCAAGCCUGAUCCAGCCAUGCCGCGUGAGUGAUGAAGGCCUUAGGGUUGUAAAGCCCUUUCACCGAUGAAGAUAAUGACGGUAGUCGGAGAAGAAGCCCCGGCUAACUUCGUGCCAGCAGCCGCCGUAAAAC